GUUCCACUGGGAAGAGAUUGGGCUUGAGGUCCGGCAGCACAUGCUAAGUGCUGAUUGUUCAUUUCAUGUUGUCAGAUUAAACGAAGCGCACCUCCAAACGCAGUCCUGGUGUUUCAUGGGUCCUUCAGCCACCACACAAGCCCCAGCACAACACAAUGCAGAAGUCCACCGGUCACACUGACAUGGAAGACAAGCCCCAAAAGAAUGUGUAUGCAGAACAUCUGCACUUUGAAGUUCACCAGUUGGGGAUGAUGACGAGGCUCCUGUGGAAGAUUUGUCAUCCUGAGCCCAGCGCUGUAUGGCUUGACA